rnacentral:rRNA from 1 species
GAUGAACGCUGGCGGCGUGCCUAAUACAUGCAAGUCGAGCGAACAGACGAGGAGCUUGCUCCUCUGACGUUAGCGGCGGACGGGUGAGUAACACGUGGAUAACCUACCUAUAAGACUGGGAUAACUUCGGGAAACCGGAGCUAAUACCGGAUAAUAUAUUGAACCGCAUGGUUCAAUAGUGAAAGACGGUUUUGCUGUCACUUAUAGAUGGAUCCGCGCCGCAUUAGCUAGUUGGUAAGGUAACGGCUUACCAAGGCAACGAUGCGUAGCCGACCUGAGAGGGUGAUCGGCCACACUGGAACUGAGACACGGUCCAGACUCCUACGGGAGGCAGCUGUAGGGAAUCUUCCGCAAUGGGCGAAAGCUUGACGGAGCAACGCCGCGUGAGUGAUGAAGGUCUUCGGAUCGUAAAACUCUGUUAUUAGGGAAGAACAAAUGUGUAAGUAACUAUGCACGUCUUGACGGUACCCAAUCAGAAAGCCACGGCUAACUACGUG